AAGACCUAGUGGCGAACGGGUGAGUAACACGUGAGAAACCUGCCUUGGAGUGGGGAAUAACUCGAGGAAACUCGAGCUAAUACCGCAUACCUUCUCUUGACCGCAUGGUCAGUUGAAGAAAGAAUUUCGCUCCAAGAGGGUCUCGCGGCCUAUCAGUUUGUUGGUGGGGUAACGGCCUACCAAGACUACGACGGGUAGCUGGUUUGAGAGAACGAUCAGCCACACUGGAACUGAGACACGGUCCAGACUCC
rnacentral:rRNA from 1 species